rnacentral:rRNA from 1 species
AUGUAUAGCAAUAGCUGAUUGCACCAACAAAUGGUUGAUGCAAUAUUGACUCUGUCAAAUAAAAUUCUAGGUAGAAUUAUGAUAAUGACAUUGUCUGCCUAUAUGUCUUGACCAAAUUACGUGCCAGCAGUCGCGGUAAUACGUAGAAGACUAGUGUUAUUCAUCUUUAAUAGGUUUAAAGGGUACCUAGACGGUAAAUCAAGCCUUCACAGGGACUAAUUUACUAGAGUUACUUACGAGGGGGUAUUAAAGUACUGCAGGUGUAGAGAUGAAAUUCUGUCAUACCUCUUUUCAAAAGAAAAAUUAUGGCACAGGUAUAGGUGAAAGCAUCCCCUUAUGUGAUAACUGACGUUGAAGGACGAAGGCUUUGUGUCGCGAACAGGAUUAGAUACCCCAGUAGUCAAAGCAGAAAAUGAUGAAUGUCAUAGAUUAGAUAUAUAGUUUAUUCUAUAAAUGAAAAUGUAAGCAUUCCACCUCAAGAGUAAUUUGGCAACAUUGGAACUGAAAUCAUUAGACCGUUUCUGAAACCAGUAGUGAAGUAUGUUGUUUAAUUUGAUGAUCCGCAAAAAACCUUACCACAAUUUGAAUAUUUGUAUCUAUCUUUUUGUACGUAAAAAAAUAAAAAGGUAAUAUAUUUACAAGCGUUGCACGGCUGUCUUCAGUUAAUGUCGCGAGACUUUGGUUAGUUCCAUUUAAUUAACGUAAACCCUUACUUUAUUUUUAUAUGAAGUAGUUCCCCGCUAUAUUGGAUAUGAUAACAGGGACUAGGACAAGUCAUCAUGGCCUUAAUAUUGU